AUACGGAUGGUGCGAGCGUUGUUCGGAAUUACUGGGCGUAAAGGGCGCGUAGGCGGCGAUGUAAGUCAAAUGUGAAAGUCCUCGGCUUAACCGGGGAAGUGCAUCUGAGACUGCAGUGCUUGAGUAUGGGAGAGGAAAGUGGAAUUCCCGGUGUAGAGGUGAAAUUCGUAGAGAUCGGGAGGAAUACCGGUGGCGAAGGCGAAUUUCUGGACCAAUACUGACGCUGAGGCGCGAAAGCGUGGGGAGCAAACAGGAUUAGAAACCCUAGUAGUCC
rnacentral:rRNA from 1 species